UAACUGCAGCAUAUAUAUAUAUAUAUAUAUAUAUAAAUAAACGUGUGGAGAUGUAAGAAUUUCACAUCAAGGAGAGAUAUCGUUCAGAAUUCCUCUGCAGAAAGGAAGAGAGAAGAGAUCGUGAUUUUAUCAUUCUCUCUCUCCGGCUCGAUAAGGCUGUCGUCUUCCUUCCUCUAACGCAGAGGAGAAGCUAAACAGAAGCAACAACAAAAAAACCAGAGGGCCAGAAAAAUGGAGAUGAAUAGCAAAGCAUUGGUUGUCAUAAUGGUGAUGGCGUUAGCCACCACCGUUGCCACCGCUGAAGCAACAUUUGGAGCGACGCCUCCAACUACCAAUGAUGGUACAACAAUAGAUCAAGGUGUCGCAUACGUUCUAAUGUUCCUUGCUUUGGUGCUCACUUACAUAAUUCAUUAGAUUAACAAACCUAGUGAAUUUAUUUACUACUCCUAAAUAUUAGUACUAUGAAACUUGAUGAUCAAGAAGAUGAAUAAAUUAAUCAAAAUAGAGGACCUGGUUUCUAGCUAGUGGUUCUGUUUAUCCAAAUGAAGAGGAACAUAUACAUACAUUCUCUUUAUUAUGGGGUGAUUUGAUCCACAUUUUAGAAUUUUAUUUUUAUCCACAUUUGUGUUGUAGGAUUAGUAAAAUCGACUCCACGUACGGGUAGUCAUGUAGUUUAUUCUUGACUAUCAAUUAGAUGCAUAGAAUUUGUAUCAGACUUUGAGAUUAAUGUGAUGUAAUAAUUUGAAUGAUACUUCUUCA